rnacentral:rRNA from 1 species
UACGUAGGGGGCAAGCGUUGUCCGGAAUUAUUGGGCGUAAAGGGCACGCAGGCGGUUCCUUAAGUCUGAUGUGAAAGCCCGUGGCUCAACCACGGAUGGCCAUUGGAAACUGGGGAACUUGAGAACUGAAGAGGAGAGUGGAAUUCCACGUGUAGCGGUGAAAUGCGUAGAUAUGUGGAGGAACACCAGUGGCGAAGGCGACUCUCUGGUCGGUUUCUGACGCUGAGGUGCGAAAGCGUGGGUAGCAAACAGG